AUUCAAUUAGUUAACCCCGCAGCAUGUUUUAUACGCGCGUGUUUUUUGUACUAAUAAUUUAUUCGAAACUUUGAGAGUUCGCCAAAAGCACGACACUAAUGUAAACAGACUGCAGUGCUAAAAUGAUUUAUUCACAAGAUCAUUAUACGCAUUUUUUUUUUUUUUUUUUUUUUAUUAAUAAUAACGAAUUCUAUACUAUUUUUUUUAACAAAUUAGUUUAGUUUGUAUUAUAUUAUUAUUACGGGAUAUAAUAUUUAAAUACGAUCGGGUACCUCGUUGAACAUACUGUGCCAUGUAAUCAAUAAUAUUUCUUCACGUAUGUAUUUUUUUUUUUUAAAGAAAACAAACAAAACGUAUAAGAGCUGCCAAAAUAUAAUAGUAUAAGUAAAGGUACAUUUUGCAGCAAUACUUUGACAUACCGGGCGUCUGCACUCUUGGACGGAUAUACAACAUUUUAUAUAAAUAAGUUUUAAAAAAAAAAGUUGAUACUGCUGAUAAGUGUGCAACUGUUGGAACAAAUGGAAAUUUAAGAAGGUAAGACACAUGUUACAUAGAAUUAUUUAAUUUAAUAAAUAAAUGACUAUGUAACGAAAUUCUGAACGAAGUUGGAGUACACAUGUUUUGAAAUCUUAUGGUUUUUGUAAUUUCGUCAAAAUGUGAAC